CCUACUUUUGUCAUCAGUGAUGAAUAUUUGUCAAUUUGCUGGAGCCUGAACCAGCCAAGUCGCGUGAGGGAAGACGGUCCUAUGGAUUGUAAACCUCUUUAGGCGGGGAGCAAUGCCGGGCACGUGUGCCCGGAGGGAGAGUACCCGCAGAAUAAGCAUCGGCUAACUCCGUGCCAGCAGCCGCGGUAAUACGGAGGAUGCGAGCGUUAUCCGGAUUUAUUGGGUUUAAAGGGUGCGUAGGCGGCUUUUGAAGUCAGAGGUAAAAUGUCGGGGCUCAACCCGGGCCGGCCGUUGAAACUGGGGAUCUUGAGUGGGCGAGAAGUAUGCGGAAUGCGUGGUGUAGCGGUGAAAUGCAUAGAUAUCACGCAGAACUCCGAUUGCGAAGGCAGCAUACCGGCGCCCGACUGACGCUGAGGCACGAAAGCGUGGGGAUCGAACAGGAUUAGAUACCCCUGUAGUC
rnacentral:rRNA from 1 species